rnacentral:rRNA from 1 species
AUCAGACACGGUGCCAGCAGCCGCGGUAAUACGUAGGGUGCGAGCGUUGUCCGGAAUUAUUGGGCGUAAAGAGCUUGUAGGCGGUUUGUCGCGUCUGCCGUGAAAAUCCGGGGCUCAACCCCGGACUUGCGGUGGGUACGGGCAGACUAGAGUGUGGUAGGGGAGACUGGAAUUCCUGGUGUAGCGGUGAAAUGCGCAGAUAUCAGGAGGAACACCGAUGGCGAAGGCAGGUCUCUGGGCCACUACUGACGCUGAGAAGCGAAAGCGUGGGGAGCGAACAGGAUUAGAUACCCUGGUAGUCCACGCCGUAAACGUUGGAACUAGGUGUGGGUCUCAUUCCACGAGAUCUGUCGCCGCAG